rnacentral:pre_miRNA from 1 species
AGUGGAAUAAUUGGGCCAAAUGGUGUGGUUCCAUUCCAAGUUUUCUGAGGAAUCUCUAUACUACUUUCCAGAGUGGUUGCACCAGUUUGCAGUCCCACCAGCAAU